rnacentral:rRNA from 1 species
AUAAAAAACCAACGCCCUUCGGGGCUCCUUGGUGAAUCAUAAUAACUAAGCGAAUCGCAUGGCCUUGCGCCGGCGAUGGUUCAUUCAAAUUUCUGCCCUAUCAACUUUCGAUGGUAAGAUAGUGGCUUACCAUGGUGGCAACGGGUAACGGGGAAUUAGGGUUCGAUUCCGGAGAGGGAGCCUGAGAAACGGCUACCACAUCCAAGGAAGGCAGCAGGCGCGCAAAUUACCCAAUCCCGACACGGGGAGGUAGUGACAAUAAAUACUGAUACGGGGCUCUUUUGGGUCUCGUAAUAGGAAUGAGUACAAUCUAAAUCCCUUAACGAGGAACAAUUGGAGGGCAAGUCUGGUGCCAGCAGCCGCGGUAAUUCCAGCUCCAAUAGCGUAUAUUAAAGUUGUUGCAGUUAAAAAGCUCGUAGUUGAACCUUGGGUCUGGCUGACCGGUCCGCCUCACCGCGAGUACUGGUUCGGCUGGGCCUUUCCUUCUGGGGAACCUCAUGGCCUUCACUGGCUGUGG